rnacentral:rRNA from 1 species
GGGAUAACCCUGGGAAACUGGGGCUAAUACCGGAUAGGCAAUUUUUCCUGUAAUGGUUCUUUGUUUAAAUGUUUUUUCGCCCAAGGAUGGGUCUGCGGCCGAUUAGGUUGUUGGUUAGGUAAUGGCUUACCAAGCCGUUGAUCGGUACGGGUUGUGAGAGCAAGAGCCCGGAGAUGGAACCUGAGACAAGGUUCCAGGCCCUACGGGGCGCAGCAGGCGUGAGACCUCCACAAUGUGAGAAAUCGCGAUGGGGGGAUCCCAAGUGCCAUUCUUAACGGGAUGGCUUUUCAUUAGUGUAAAAAGCUUUUGGAAUAAGAGCUGGGCAAGACCGGUGCCAGCCGCCGCGGUAACACCGGCAGCUCUAGUGGUAGCAACUUUUAUUGGGCCUAAAGCGUCCGUAGCCGGUUUAAUAAGUCUCUGGUGAAAUCCUGUAGCUUAACUGUGGGAAUUGCUGGAGAUACUAUUAGACUUGAGACCGGGAGAGGUUAGAGGUACUCCCAGGGUAGAGGUGAAAUUCUGUAAUCCUGGGAGGACCGCCUGUUGCGAAGGCGUCUAACUGGAACGGUUCUGACGGUGAGGGACGAAAGUUAGGGGCGCGAACCGGAUUAGAUACCCGGGUAGUCCUAACUGUAAACGAUGCGGACUUGGUGUUGGGGUGGCUUUGAGCUGUUCCAGUGCCGAAGGGAAGCUGUUAAGUCCGCCGCCUGGGAAGUACGGUCGCAAGACUGAAACUUAA